rnacentral:rRNA from 1 species
AUUGAACGCUGGCGGCAGGCCUAACACAUGCAAGUCGAACGAGUGGCGGACGGGUGAGUAAUGUAUGGGAAACUGCCUGAUGGAGGGGGAUAACUACUGGAAACGGUAGCUAAUACCGCAUACCAUCGGAUGUGCCCAGAUGGGAUUAGCUUGUUGGUGGGGUAACGGCUCACCAAGGAGACGAUCCCUAGCUGGUCUGAUAGGAUGACUGGUCACACUGGAACGGAGACACAGUCCAGACUCCGACGUGAGGCAGCAGGGGGGAAGAUUGCACAAUGGGCGCAAGCCUGAUGCAGCCAUGCCACGUGUAUGAAGAAGGCCUGCGGGUGGUAAAGUACUUUCAGCGGGGAGGCGUUACCCGCAGAAGAAGCACCGGCUAACGCCGUGCCAGCAGCCGCGGUAAUUC